rnacentral:tRNA from 1 species
GAUUAAACGAUUAGAUUAAA